GGGGUCCUUGUGCUGCUGGUACUGCUGAUAGGAGGAGUGCUGAAGUGUCUGCAAUCCAAACGAGAUCCUGCUGUCCAGACUGAACCUGUAUACGCCACGGUGAAUCAGCCCAAACAGCCUUCAAAGCAACAGGACGACACAAUCACCUACUCAGAAAUAAACACUGCCCAUGUCACCAAGAAGAAACCCAGCUCUGCACCUGAUGAAGACACUGUAACAUACGCAAGAGUUAGAAUUUCCACAUACUGAAAACCACUGGGGAAAAUUAAUAAAAAAAAAAUAACUGAAUAGUCAAUGCAAUAAAAUGGUCUUUCCCUUUUAUCUACGGACUCUCUGCUUUCAUACCUACCAAAACGAUCAUACAGAGUCCGAUCAGAGGGACACACUUUAGUUCUUGUCCCAGAACUGACAAACCAUUGGAGAUAUAAAUUAUCUAUGAGACUGUGGUGGAAUGUGUCAAACAAUAGAAGACACAUUGAUAGCACUUCCAUCAAUGCUGGCAGGCAAACAUUUCUAUGAAACCUUCUGCACAGGUUCUAGUGUUUAAAGAGCUAGUAGUAUACUGUGUGUUUCCCUGUAGGAGUGUGGGAUUCUUAAUCAAAGCUAACACACAAUGCAUUUCUUAAUCAACAAGUUUGUUUAGUACCAUUUAGCCAACCUGACCUCUCUCUCCCAAUCUGUUAAUUUAUUGCAGAAUCAGCCCAAGCAGCCUUCAAAGCAACAGGACGACACACUCACCUACUCAGAAAUAAACACUGCCCGUGUCACCAAGAAGAAACCCAGCUCUGCACCUGAUGAAGACACUGUAACAUAUGCAGCAGUUAAGACUAAAGUUUGGUAUGGUAGCAAUGGUAAUCUAAUGUAAAUUCAUAGCAUAGGCCUGGGAAAAGAAAUGGAAACUAGAAAAAUUACAUCUUGAAUCAUUCCAGGUCUAUCAUGUUAUAUACAGUGUGUGUCAGGUUAGAAACAUUGUGUGUAGUUUGGUAGGCUCAACUUAGCCCCUUUAAUAAACAUUCAUUAUCAAGCAAUUCUGCACAAUUGCCAGUGUGCUUGAGAGAGGCCCAGGACUGAAUGUCCAGCUUGUAAGUUGUUUAGAAUUGUAAAUGGUAUUCUUUUCUUUCAAAAGAACUUAAUAAAGGCUUUCAGAACCAAAUCUGUUGUGCUAUAAAUGAAAGUAAUACAGUGCUCCCUCGCUAUAAGGCUCUCGGUUAUAAUGCGCCUUGGAUAUAACAACUUCUCAGUCUAACUUCUGUUUCUGUCUCUCCCUAAAUAUUAGGCCUAUUACAUGGUUAUCUUUCCUAAUGUAUUUACUUUUUUGAUGUGAGAGUAGCUGCGGCUUUCUCUGGGAGACAAGACACUUCAGCUUUGCUUCAGCCCCGCUCCAGCAGCCGAACCUGGGGCAAGCCCAUUGCCUCUUCCACACGCCCGACCUGCUCUCCUUC